rnacentral:rRNA from 1 species
GAUGAACGCUGGCGGCGUGCCUAAUACAUGCAAGUCGAGCGAACGGACGAGAAGCUUGCUUCUCUGAUGUUAGCGGCGGACGGGUGAGUAACACGUGGAUAACCUACCUAUAAGACUGGGAUAACUUCGGGAAACCGGAGCUAAUACCGGAUAAUAUUUUGAACCGCAUGGUUCAAAAGUAAAAGACGGUCUUGCUGUCACUUAUAGAUGGAUCCGCGCUGCAUUAGCUAGUUGGUAAGGUAACGGCUUACCAAGGCAACGAUGCAUAGCCGACCUGAGAGGGUGAUCGGCCACACUGGAACUGAGACACGGUCCAGACUCCUACGGGAGGCAGCAGUAGGGAAUCUUCCGCAAUGGGCGAAAGCCUGACGGAGCAACACCGCGUGAGUGAUGAAGGUCUUCGGAUCGUAAAACUCUGUUAUUAGGGAAGAACAUAUGUGUAAGUAACUGUGCACAUCUUGACGGUACCUAAUCAGAAAGCCACGGCUAACUACGUGC